UUGGGCCACUCCCGCGGCAUAUGGAGGUUCCCAGGCUAGGGGUCGAAUCGGAGCUGCAGGCACUGGCCUACGCCAGAGCCACAGCAACGUGGCAUCCGAGCCGCGUCUGCAACCUACCCCACAGCUCACGGCAACGCCAGAUCCUUAACCCACUGAGCAAGGGCAGGGACGGAACCCGCAACCUCAUGGUUCCUAGUCGGAUUCGUUAACUACUGCGCCAUGACGGGAACUCCUGCCCCUCUCUCUUUGCUGAGCACCCACUAUGUGCCUGGAGCUGCUGCAGGAUGCCAGGAACCAGCCACUUACCUCCACUGGCCCCACGCGUGCAUGAGCACAUCACAUGUGCGUGCACAGACACACACACACACAUCACCUCCCCCAGAGCCCAGUACCUCAUACACCUCAGACUCAGAGGGUUCCCCCGCAACGAAGGCACUGAGCAGAGAACUCCACCUCUGUUGACGGCCAUGCAUUACAGACAAGGCCUCUGGUGACCAGGAAAGGGCGGUGCUGUCCAAGGUCACAUAGUGAACUGGCUCUGCACAGGCUGACCCAACGGCUGCCCAGACUUCCGGGCGGAGAAUUCUGGCAGGUCCCUGAGCCACCCCAUCUGGGCUCUGGCAGGAGGUAAAUAAAGGCAACAUUGCUACAAGGUCACAAUGGCUGGGACAGACCAGGGACACGGUGCUGGGCCCAAGCAACUGAAGGGCAAUCUGAGAGGGCUCCCAGGAGGAGGUGAGGGGCUCAGAGCCUUGCCUUGGCCUGAGCCCCUCAGCACUCCACCCCCUUCCUCGAUGGGCCCCUCACCCAUCAGCUUCAGCCUCAGCUUGACAUUUCCCGUGACAUUUGCUGCAAAGAAAUAGAGCCAUAAACCCAAAGGUUAAAUUUGCACAUUGCCUGGCUGCCGGGCGAGCAGGUCCCGCCACCCACCAGGUGCCUGGCUGCAGGCUUGUGUGGGAUGGCCCACACAGGCCUGGGGCCCUUGCUGGGGGCCCAAAGGUCCCCUCCAAUGGACCUCAGCCGCCGUUUCCCAAAAUGGGUUCCUGGGCACAUCAGGCCCUAAGCAUGUUACACAAGACGCCCAGAGAGGCUCUGCCCACCCAGCACCCUGCGGUAAAGAAGCUCCGUCAGCGCCUCUAAACCAGUCAGUCCCAAAUCUGCGUGACCACAAAACCUUGUCCAACCCCCACCAACAUUCUGCGGAACCUCAAUUCCAUGAAGCGUGAUCCGUGAUGGCAUGAGGCCAAGGAGCAACCCCCGGGGCACCAGGCGGCGGCCUGAACAAAGCUGAGUCAGCUUCUGACACCCCAGUUCCUCCACUGGGCUCCCCCCAUCAUGUCACCACUGGCCCAGCCCCAUGUGCUAGGGUCCGAAUGGGCUCACCACCUGCCAGGCCCACCUGGGCCAACCCAAGACCCUGGUCUUGAGACAUGCAGCACUUCUUCACGGCCUCUGGAAGGGCGGCCAACAGCCCUGCCCUUCAGCAACACCUCCUGGGCUGGCUGCCCUGUCCUGGGCUGGUGGGGGGGGCCAGGCUGUGGGACAGGGCCACCAUGGCCCAUUCUCCAUUCCCAGGCAGGGCAAGGUGGCAGGUCCACUGGGAGGCAGGAGCCAGGAUGACACUGCAGGACAAGGACAGAGGCUGUGUGAAGGGGCCGCAGAGAGGCAGUCCUAUAGCACCCACCAGCUGCAUAAGACUGCAGAGCCAGAAUCCUGAGACCGCCCAGAGGCCCCAGGUGUGGGAGAGGCCUGAGGGGCCCACCCUAAAAACGUUCGGAGGGGUCCAUAUCAGGCCUGGCCUCCUACUGGGGGUGGGGCAUAUGGCUCUGCCUCCAGGGGACCUGGCAGGGCCUGUACUGAGGACACAUCUCUGGGUGUCCAGCUGCACAACCAUAGGAAGUGAGAGAGGCAAGGCAGGUUUUGAUAAAUAAAUUACGGCACAUCCUCAGGAAGGGAUUCCACACACACCAGCAAACGCAUGGUAACCCAAGAAUAGUUCCCGACGUGCAAAAUGUUUAAAAUACAGCGACGAAGGAAGAAACUGCAGCAUAGAACACCAGGCGUGGUGGGGCCUGGUAGGGCCCACAUGCUCCCACCCUGGCACAGGGAGAGGCAAGGGUAUGGACAGCCUGCCCGCCCUCUGGCUAGGCUGCCAUUUUCAGCUCUGUGGCCACCUGUCCUUUAAAGCAUUUUGUCCUGUAAACUCAGGUGGGCAAGGACCACAUCCCUUCAUCUGGAUGGCUUAGAGGGGGUCUGACAGACCGUGAAUAAGUGAGUAAGUGAGUGAGUGAGUGAGUGAGUGAGAACUGGUGUCUCAGUGGAAGCGAAUGUAACAUCUGGGCUUGGGCAGCUGGGGGGUGGGGGGGCACAGGAGCGGGCAGACCACAAAGGGUCAGGCAGCCCUGCCUAGGGGUCAGAGAUCAGAGCCCAGGGCGAAGGGACACCUGAAUUUCCCUGACUGUGCAGAGGCAAGAGCCUUCAGGAACCCCAGGACGGGGCCCGGAGCAGGAGUGCUGCUCACACUCACUCCUUCCCACACUCACUGUCACUGUCCCCACGGCCAGUUCCCUGGUUCUAGCAAACCCCUUCACUAUGUCCCAAGCUCCUGACCCCUAUCUGGAUGCACAGGCUGAGCCUCUGGGGAGACUCUCUGGCCACAGGCCCAGGAGAGCAGGAAACACGGCCCUGGGGGUGCACUCCUGCCUCCACCAGCCGGGCCACUCUUGGGCUGCACCAGCUGCCACAGGCGUCUGCACAACAAAGCCACAGAUGCAGGCCGGGGCAGGGAGCGCCAGGGGCCAGCCAGGCAUGCUGGCUGUCCUGGGGCAGCAAAAGGAGGGUGAGGUCGGAGUCCAGAAAGCCUGAGGGGCAGGGCUGUACACACCUGGCCCCUCACAGUCUGUCACUGGCGAUGAACAACAGCAAACAAACCAUAGGCCCCAAAGAGGGCCCCGGGCAACCCUUGGCCUCCUCUGCUUUCCGUGGUCCAAGCACAUCUCCUACAGACUCCUACCAGCCCUCCUGCGUGUUGAGACCCACUGGGCCAGGCUCUCCUCCUGCAGCCUCCACCCACCUCUCCUCCAUGACCACAGGAAGCCCAUCCUGACCGAAGGGUGCCCAACUGGCCACUGGUCCUCACAUGGGGAAACUGAGACUCAGGGCAUCACAGGCUCCCAGCUUGUGUUGGGCAGAGCAAAGACGCUGCCCCAGUUGGUGGCAGGGGCGGGGGGGAGGAGACGCACACUUCGCACCUCCUGCAGUGCUCCCUCUCCCUUCCUGCUCCCCAUCUGCCCACCCCCUUCUUCAACUCCCUGGUUGGCCACUGCAGGCCAUUAUUUUCCCAUCUGCAAACGGUUAGGAAGGAGGUCCAGUUGACAGUGUGAGGGCUCCAGGACUUCCCUGCGUGGGAACCACUGAGUCAGGUAGGGUGGUGGUGCCUUGAGUAUCUUGAAAGCAGAAGCACUGGGGUCAGAACUCCAUGGGAGCCUCACCCUUUAAGUGUCCCACAACCCCAAAGGGAGGCCCGAUUACUGGCCCAUGUGAUGAGUAGGGGAGAGCGAGGCACGGAGAGGUUGACUGUCACACCCAAGGUCAUACCACCGUCUGUGACUGAGCCAGGACCCAUAUCCAAGCUCUUACUCUUCGGCCAUUCCAAACCUGGGAAUCAGGGUCUGUGAGUGGCCCUCUGCCAGGUGGAGUCUGGGUGUGCCCACCUGACUUAGACCCUCGCAUGGGAGCUCCACCUUCCUCACCUCUACUGCAGCAAGAGCAGGAAAGUACCUACUCUGCAGAGGGAAAGACUGAGGGCUUAGGGAAGAGAAGUGGCCAGUCCCACCCCCACCCCCACCCCCCAUGGGACCCACCCCUCUGUUUCACCCCCACACACCCUACUAGGAUGACCUGCUUGUCCUCAUUCUACAGACAAGGACACUGAUGGGGGGGGGCGGGGAGCAGGGUUGUGGUCCUGCCUCCCUAAGCCCUGGCCUGGGGUCCUCACCACAGUGAGUGAGGGUGGGUCACCAAAACUCUGACUUCAGACCCCUCCUCAGCAUGCAAGGCAGGGGGCACACUACAGAGCCCCUCACCAAGAAGGCUCUCUC
rnacentral:lncRNA from 1 species